rnacentral:rRNA from 1 species
AACGAACGCUGGCGGCGCGCUUAACACAUGCAAGUCGAACGAGAAGGCGUAGCAAUACGCUUGUAAAGUGGCGAACGGGUGAGGAAUACAUGGGUAACCUACCCUCGAGUGGGGGAUAACCCGCCGAAAGGCGGGCUAAUACCGCGUACGCUUCCGAUCUUGCGGGAUCGGAAGGAAAGCUGUCCCAAGGGGAUGGCGCUCAAGGAUGGGCUCAUGUCCUAUCAGCUUGUUGGUAGGGAACGGCCUACCAAGGCAUCGACGGGUAGCUGGUCUGAGAGGACGAUCAGCCACACUGGCACUGCGACACGGGCCAGACUCCUACGGGAGGCAGCAGUGAGGAAUAUUGCGCAAUGGGCGAAAGCCUGACGCAGCGACGCCGCGUGGGGGAGU